GUCUAGUCGAGGUAAGCCGCAUGGCUCUAAGCCAGAGCUUGACUGUUUUGUGGACUGACUACUUUUAAUUUCUAUGCAGCUCUUAUGUUCACUCUCACGGAACCACGAGGCGUGCUGGCUGCAGUUGUUUUUGUCUAGUGUAGCUCUUAUGUUUACUGUCACGGAACCACGAGGCGUGCGGGCUGCAGUUGUUUUUGUCUAGUCGAGCUCUUAUGUUCACUCUCACGGAACCACGAGGCGUGCUGGCUGCAGUUGUUUUUGUCUAGUGUAGGUAAGCCGCAUGGUUCCAAGCCAGAGCUUGACUGUAUUGUGGACUCACUACUUUUAAUUUCUAUGCAGUUCUUAUGUUUACUGUCACGGAACCACGAGGUGUGCGGGCUGCAGUUGUUUUUGUCUAGUCGAGGUAAACCACAUGGUUCCAAGCCAGAGCUUGACUGCAUUGUGGACUGACUACUUUUAAUUUCUACGCAGCUCUUAGGUUUACUGUCACG